UACGUAGGGCGCAAGCGUUGUCCGGAAUUACUGGGCGUAAAGCGUGCGUAGGUGGUUCGUUGUGUCUGUGGUGAAAUCCCCGGGCUUAACCUGGGAAUGGCCAUGGAAACUGGCGAUCUGGAGUCUGGCAGAGGGGGGUGGAAUUCCGCGUGUAGCAGUGAAAUGCGUAGAGAUGCGGAGGAACACCGAUGGCGAAGGCAGCCCCCUGGGCUAAGACUGACGCUGAGGCACGAAAGCGUGGGGAGCAAACAGG
rnacentral:rRNA from 1 species